GAUGAACGCUGACAGAAUGCUUAACACAUGCAAGUCGACUUGACUAGUUUACUAGUUGGGUGGCGCACGGGUGAGUAACGCGUGAAGAACUUGCCCUCUAGCCUGGGACAACUACUAGAAAUGGUAGCUAAGACCGGAUAGUAUUUUUGGUAGGCAUCUACUGGAAAUGAAAGGGAACACUAGAGGAGAGCUUCGCGUCCCAUUAGCUAGUUGGUAGUGUAAGAGACUACCAAGGCGACGAUGGGUAGCCGGCCUGAGAGGGUGAACGGCAACAAGGGGACGGAGACACGGACCUUAAUCCUAGGGGAGUCAGCAGUGGGGAAUAUUGGACAAUGGGCAAAAGAGCCUGAUCCAGCAAUUCUGCGUGAACGAAGAAGGCUUUCGGGUCGUAAAGUUCUUUCGGCAGGGAAGAAGGAAAUGACGGUACCUGCAUAAGAAGCGACGGCUAAUUACGUGCCAGCCGCCGCCGUAA
rnacentral:rRNA from 1 species